GCAUCGGUGGUUCUGUGGUAGAAUGCUCGCCUGCCACGCGGGCGCCCGGGUUCGAUUCCGGCCGAUGCU
rnacentral:tRNA from 1 species